rnacentral:rRNA from 1 species
AGUGAACGCUGGCGGUAGGCCUAACACAUGCAAGUCGAACGGCAGCACAGUAAGUGCUUGCUCUUACGGGUGGCGAGUGGCGGACGGGUGAGGAAUACUUCGGAAUCUACUUUUACGUGGGGGAUAACGUAGGGAAACUUACGCUAAUACCGCAUACGACCUACUGGUGAAAGCAGGGGUUCUUCGGACCUUGCGCGAUUGAAUGAGCCGAUGUCGGAUUAGCUAGUUGGCGGGGUAAAGGCCCACCAAGGCGACGAUCCGUAGCUGGUCUGAGAGGAUGAUCAGCCACACUGGAAGUGAGACACGGUCCACACUCCUACGCGAGGCAGCAGUGCAGAAUACUGGACAAUGCGCGAGAGCCUGAUCCAGGCCUACCGCGUAAGUGCAGAAGGAGUUCGGGUUGUUAAGCGCUUAAGUUGGGAGAGAAAAACAGCAGGUUUAUCCCCCGUUAUACUGACGGUACCCAGAGAAUAAGCACCGGCUAACUUCGUG